CUAUAUACAAUAAUAAUAUAAAUUGUAGGAGCGUGCUGACCUGAAUGAGCAGGUGCUGGCUAGGAUGAAGGUCAGAGGAAGAAGCAGCUCUAUUGGUCCGGCCUAAUUUUUCUAAUGCGUUGCUGUUGCUGGAUAAAUGCCUCGGCGAGAAAAGGACAAGUUUUAAAGACUCUCUCUUUAGUAAUAUGUUUAGCUUUAAUUAUGUAAUCUGUUUUAACUGCUUAAUAAAACUUGUUGUCAUCAA